GUCCACGCCGUAAACGAUGUCAACUAGUUGUUGGGUUCCUUGAGGACUUAGUAACGAAGCUAACGCGAUAAGUUGACCGCCUGGGGAGUACGGCCGCAAGGUUAAAACUCAAAUGAAUUGACGGGGCCCGCACAAGCGGUGGAGCAUGUGGUUUAAUUCGAAGCAACGCGAAGAACCUUACCUGGCCUUGACAUGCUGAGAACUUUCCAGAGAUGGAUUGGUGCCUUCGGGAACUCAGACACAGGUGCUGCAUGGCUGUCGU
rnacentral:rRNA from 1 species